CAGCCCCCACAGAUUCUGGUACGUUGCUGCAGCUGGUGUUGUGAAUCAGGCCGACAAGCAGCUCAUCCUAUUACCCGGCUAUUUCACCACACCAGGGUUGCAUCAUACCGCUCUCCUUCAGAAGGCUGAGAAGACGCAUGGAAUCCAGCC
ensembl:miRNA sha-mir-138-1 sha-mir-138-1